GAGAGAGGUAAUACACGAUAAGAACUGCUAAUUCAUAUACCUGAGACUAACCUCUCAGCUCUCUCA
rnacentral:tRNA from 1 species